rnacentral:rRNA from 1 species
AGGACGAACGCUGGCGGUGUGCUUCACACAUGCAAGUCGAACGAGGUAGCAAUACCUAGUGGCGGACGGGUGAGUAACGCGUGGGAAUCUGCCUUUAGAUGGGGGAUAACGGGCCGAAAGGUCCGCUAAUACCGCAUAGGCCGCAAGGUUAAAGGAGUAAUCCGUCUAAAGAUGAGCCCGCGUCCGAUUAGCUAGUUGGUAGGGUAAAAGCCUACCAAGGCGACGAUCGGUAGCUGGUCUGAGAGGAUGAUCAGCCACAAUGGGACUGAGACACGGCCCAUACUCCUACGGGAGGCAGCAGUGGGGAAUUUUGUGCAAUGGGCGAAAGCCUGACACAGCGACACCGCGUGAGCGAAGAAGCCCUUUGGGGUGUAAAGCUCUGUCAGCUGGAACGAAAAAAUGACGGUACCAGCAGAGGAAGCAUCGGCUAACUACGUGCCAGUAGCCGC